rnacentral:rRNA from 1 species
CCUACGGGAGGCUGCAGUGGGGAAUAUUGGACAAUGGGGGGAACCCUGAUCCAGCCAUGCCGCGUGUGUGAAGAAGGCCCUCGGGUUGUAAAGCACUUUCAGUGAGGAAGAACGCCUGGUGGUUAAUACCCAUCAGGAAAGACAUCACUCACAGAAGAAGCACCGGCUAACUCCGUGCCAGCAGCCGCGGUAAUACGGAGGGUGCGAGCGUUAAUCGGAAUUACUGGGCGUAAAGCGCGCGUAGGUGGCUUGAUAAGCCGGUUGUGAAAGCCCCGGGCUCAACCUGGGAACGGCAUCCGGAACUGUCAAGCUAGAGUGCAGGAGAGGAAGGUAGAAUUCCCGGUGUAGCGGUGAAAUGCGUAGAGAUCGGGAGGAAUACCAGUGGCGAAGGCGGCCUUCUGGACUGACACUGACACUGAGGUGCGAAAGCGUGGGUAGCAAACAGGAAUAGAUACCCCAGUAGUC